rnacentral:lncRNA from 1 species
AAUUUUUCUCACAAGAUGGAAAGUAGAGAUAUGAAUAGCCUUUUUUUAUGAUUAAGUUUAUACUAUAGAUUAAUAAAAUAUAAUCCUAUAAUAGGGAGAAGAAUACUUUAAAGCAAUAAAGUAUAAACAUGCCUGUUAUCAACAUAUGAGGGGUGCAGAGCAGAAGUGGUGUAAGUCCAAAAUUAUGAUUUUGAGAUAAUUGCAUUUUUGUAACAGCGAUUAAAAAAAAAUAUAUGCAACAUGUACAGGAACUUUAUUGGAAUAGUGGCAUACAUAAAUAAUUGGCACAUCUAUUAAAUAUGUGAUAACUGAAUGUAAAGGUUUACAUUAGCCAUAACAUAGAUAACAAUAAAAGAAAAUGGUUUUGCACUGAAUAUGUUCACUAAUAUUCAGACCAGACUUGAGGUCAAUGAAAAAAAAUAAAAUGUAAGUGACUACAAGAAGCUAUAUAUCAUACAUUGGUUUGUCUACAUUUUCGUUUUCUUCGGUGAUGAUCAUGGCAUGCUUUUUUUGCUGCAAUCUAGUAUUACCUAUGAUAGGCAAAUAUUUGAAGAAAGCAUGUCGGCUUGGAGAUAUAAAAUGCAACAAAUCAAUCAUAUCCUUCUUCUUUUGUUCUGAUACUGGUCUUCUUGUUGUAUAUAAUUUCCCUUGUUCAAUGUCUGCAAGAGAACUUAAUGGACGACCAAGCCCUUUCUGUAGAUUUACUGAAUAAAAAUUCAUGUCAUUGUUUUGUGUUUCUUUAAAUUUAAUAGUAAAUGAUGCGCCCCUCUGAAAACGCAUCCACUUCAUAUUUAGCCAGUUUACAUGUCUCCCAUCAAUAGUAUAUUUUCGUUUUGUCACACAAUUCUCAAGUGACGCAGUGGACAAGAAAUCCUCAUGUUGCAUUACUAGAACUUGGAAUGGUUUCCUUUUAGCAGUUUUCACUAUAUCCACCCAAUCAUGAAAUGAAGUAAUUUCCCGUUGCAAAUGUGCUUUCUUUUCAAUUAACCCGAAAUCUGAGUCAUUUGGUAGGUAGGAAUGCCCAGGUUUAAGAAAUUUAUGAUCAAUAACUUCAGUUUUGUUGUGAGGGCUGUUGACGUACUUCAAAAAUGUUAAAGCCAUUUUUAUAUUUGUUUUGCCCUCCACAGCAGUCGGAAUAUAAAAUAAUUCUUUGAUGGUUCUUAGCGUACUCUUCAAGAUGUCUAACUAUACAUGUAGCUAAUUCUUGCGCACCCCUCCCUCCUUCAGUUUCAUCCCACAUAAACAUAUGACCAUUCUUUGUAUUGAAGGAGUGACAUCCAAAAUUAUAUACAUACAUAUUUCUCUUAUAGUAUGCUGUAGAUGUUGUUAGUUUUGGAAAAGGUAAUGCUUUUUCCAAAUCAAAAGUCAUCACAUAACAUGUCAUCAGCUGAAGUUUUAUCUUCUUUUAAACAUUCUCUUGCCUUUUCUGC